GUAAGUCUGUCUUUUGAGUGAGUUGAGUCUUCUCUUUCAGAGAAUCAUCUGAUGAAAUUCCAGGCUCCUGAAAGGUUGGAGGAAGAGUCAGGGAAGCAGGGAUAUAGCAAGCCCAUAAUGACAACUAACACCUCCAAAACUGAAUAGGGCUAGAUGAAAUGUAAUGGAACCUUCAGAUAUAUGAAGAUUUAAUUUCGCACAAGUGUUGCCAACAGUCAUGUUCUGAGAGCUGCUACUGUAGAAGGAAAAAACAAGCAUGCUAGGACCCCGGAUUAUGCUGGGCGUGAGUGUCAACAGCAGCCCAGAUUGGAGGCCCAGAACCUACUGAAGAUUCCAGAAGCCUGCCAGGCUCCUUUGCCAGAGAAGAAGAAUAAAAAACAACCCACUGAAAACUUCAGUUGUUCAGGUAAGAUCAACAAACUAGAUGAGUGAAAGGGAGCCAGAAGCAGAAACGGGACAAGGAAAUAGACUAUUAGUGUGACAAGCGCUCCGAUAUGGACUGCCACAAGGAUAUAGCUUCUCCGUGAGUAAAAUGGAAGUGAUACCACCUAUCUCACAGAGCAGCUCUGAAGGCCAAAAAGAUGACACAUACAAAGCACUUAGCACCAUGCCUAGAAUAAUUAAUACUUCUCAGAUCCUCUUUAUCUCAGCUCAACACACUCCCAACUGGUCCAACAAGUUCCCAAAAGUGUCUGAGAGAGCUGUAAAAUACAGAUUCCUAGGCUCCACUCCAGAUCUACAAAAUUAGUAUGUCUGGGGAGAAGGCCCAGAUGAUUCUGAUACACAUUUCCAUGGGGAACCACUGGAUAGGACCAUAUCAUUAGCCCACAUCAGUCUAACUUUCAGAGGAAAAGCAAGAGGAAUCCACAUUUUUUGGAAACCUACACUGUGCUUGAUGCAGUGCUAGCAGCUUUCACUUGAAAGAUACAUUUGUCUCUUUCUCAUAAUUUCUCACAGUUCACCAGGGUGAGGCUAGGUGACAAUGAUUUGAAAAAGUUAUAUGACACAGAACACAGAUAUAACAUAUAUUUUCAUCCCUGUAACUCUAGCCUCGCCAGGGAAUUGCUCCUGGGAUUACAGUUGACCCUAGUUUUCCUCCUGGUUCCUGCGUUUGAAACCCAUUUCACUUUAUUAAAAAACCUUCUAUAUUGUCCAACCUAUACUAAUAACAAUAGUAAUACUAUCAGUUAAUGUCAGGCCAAGCAGCUCAUGCCUGUAAUCCCAGCACUUUAAGAGGCCGAGCUGGGCAGCUUAGAUGAGUCCAGCAAUUUGAGACCAGCCUGGGCAACAUGGUGAAGCCCCGUCUCAACAAAAAAUAUUAAAAAAAAUAAAUAAAAAUUUAUAUUUUUUGUUGAGACGGGGCUUCACCAUGUUGCCCAGGCAUUAACUGGAAGAAACAGAAACAAGGAAUUAAGUGUGUUCACAUUCUUUGAUCUAAGGACUAGAGGCAGGACUGAGAAAGCAGCAGAGAAUGAAUUCACCUGACUUUACUGCCAUCGUGUGGUCGUCUCAUGCAUAGACAACUGGCUCACAAUUCUGCAUUCAUUUUUCCAGUCAUUGAGCCUACUAGGCCCUCUGCAAGGCAAUGUGAAAAUAAGGCCAAUUGAAUCAGAAGACCUGACCUUGAGGCUAUUGUAACAGCCUUGCUUUCCUCUGGAGUCACCAAGCUGGAAGUCACCUUAGUCACCAACUACUCCAGGGGUGAGCACCUCAUUCUCAUGCAGACUAUGUCAGAAAAGAUAGAAAUGUUUAUAAGCACCGUCAUUAUUUUUCUAUUCAAAAUGAAAGUAGCUUAGUGGCCUAUGGGAUGUAUAGAGUCUCAUUACUUUAAGCACCUCACUAUUUUUAAUAGAAGAUGAUCAGUGAGAAAAUCUAAUGGUAAAUUAGCUUUCUAAUCUGUUAUGCCUUGUACCUGUAGAGCAUUGUUUUCAUAAAGCACAUUUAUCUGCAUGUUGUCAUGUUAUGGCCAAAACAAUUUUGGAAGGUAGGUAUAUUAGUCCAUUCUCAUGCUGCUAUGAA
rnacentral:lncRNA from 1 species